UUCCUUGGAGCUAACCCGUUCAGCAGUAAGCAUGUCCUUAAACGGAUCGAAUAGAUAGAUUAACAGGUUUCCCCUAAGUAACUGCGAAGUGAAGCGGGAAAAGCUCAAAUUUAAAAUCUGGCGGGUCUUCGGCCCGUCCGAGUUGUAAUCUAGAGAAAGUGUUAUCCGCGCUGGACCGUGUACAAGUCUCCUGGAAUGGAGCGUCAUAGAGGGUGAGAAUCCCGUCUUUGACACGGACUGCCAGGGCUUUUGUGAUGCGCUCUCAAAGAGUCGAGUUGUUUGGGAAUGCAGCUCAAAAUGGGUGGUAAAUUCCAUCUAAAGCUAAAUAUUGGCGAGAGACCGAUAGCGAACAAGUACCGUGAGGGAAAGAUGAAAAGAACUUUGGAAAGAGAGUUAAACAGUACGUGAAAUUGCUGAAAGGGAAACGCUUGAAGUCAGUCGCGUUAGCCGGGGAUCAACCUUGCUUUUGCUGGGCAUACUUUCCGGUUGAUGGGUCAGCAUCAAUUUUGACCGUUGGAUAAAGUUCAGGGGAAUGUGGCAUCUUCGGAUGUGUUAUAGCCCUUGGUCGCAUACAACGGUUGGGAUUGAGGAACUCAGCACGCCGCAAGGCCGGGUACUUGUACCACGUUCGUGCUUAGGAUGCUGGCAUAAUGGCUUUAAUCGACCCGUCUUGAAACACGGACCAAGGAGUCUAACAUGCCUGCGAGUGUUUGGGUGGAAAACUCGGACGCGUAAUGAAAGUGAAAGUUGAGAUCCCUGUCGCGGGGAGCAUCGACGCCCGGACCAGACCUUUUGUGACGGAUCCGCGGUAGAGCAUGUAUGUUGGGACCCGAAAGAUGGUGAACUAUGCCUGAAUAGGGUGAAGCCAGAGGAAACUCUGGUGGAGGCUCGUAGCGAUUCUGACGUGCAAAUCGAUCGUCAAAUUUGGGUAUAGGGGCGAAAGACUAAUCGAACCAUCUAGUAGCUGGUUCCUGCCGAGUUUCCCCCCCCUUCGGAGAAGGGA
rnacentral:rRNA from 1 species